CCUACGGGAGGCAGCAGUGAGGAAUAUUGGUCAAUGGGCGCGAGCCUGAACCAGCCAAGUAGCGUGAAGGAUGACUGCCCUACGGGUUGUAAACUUCUUUUAUAAAGGAAUAAAGUGACGCACGUGUGCCUUUUUGUAUGUACUUUAUGAAUAAAGAUCGGCUAACUCCGUGCCAGCCGCAGCGGUAAUACGGAGGAUACGAGCGUUAUCCGGAUUGAUUGGGUUUAAAGGGUGCGAGGGCGGACGGUUAAGUCAGCGGUAAAAGCCCGGGGCUCAACCCCGGCGAGCCGUUGAAACUGGCUGUCGUGAGUUGUCGAGAGGAAUGCGGAAUGCGCAGUGUAGCGGUGAAAUGCUGAGAUAUUGCGCAGAACUCCGAUUGCGAAGGCAGCAUACCGGCGGCGAUCUGACGCUGAGGCACGAAAGCGUGGGUAUCGAACAGGAUUAGAUACCCCAGUAGUC
rnacentral:rRNA from 1 species